AGUGAACGCUGGCGGUAGGCCUAACACAUGCAAGUCGAACGGCAGCACAGUAAGAGCUUGCUCUUACGGGUGGCGAGUGGCGGACGGGUGAGGAAUACAUCGGAAUCUACUUUUUCGUGGGGGAUAACGUAGGGAAACUUACGCUAAUACCGCAUACGACCUACGGGUGAAAUCAGGGGAUCUUCUGACCUUGCGCGAUUGAAUGAGCCGAUGUCGGAUUAGCUAGUUGGCGGGGUAAAGGCCCACCAAGGCGACGAUCCGUAGCUGGUCUGAGAGGAUGAUCAGCCACACUGGAACUGAGACACGGUCCAGACUCCUACGGGAGGCAGCAGUGGGGAAUAUUGGACAAUGGGCGCAAGCAUGAUCCAGCCAUACCGCGUGGGUGAAGAAGGCCUUCGGGUUGUAAAGCCCUUUUGUUGGGAAAGAAAAGCAGCAGGUUAAUACCCCGCUGUUCUGACGGUACCCAAAGAAUAAGCACCGGCUAACUUCGUG
rnacentral:rRNA from 1 species